rnacentral:rRNA from 1 species
GAUGAACGCUGGCGGCGUGCUUAACACAUGCAAGUCGAACGGAAAGGCCACAGCUUGCUGUGGUACUCGAGUGGCGAACGGGUGAGUAACACGUGGGUGAUCUGCCCUGUACUUCGGGAUAAGCUUGGGAAACUGGGUCUAAUACCGGAUAGGAAUCACAUGUGGGUGUGUGGUUGGAAAGCUUUUGCGGUAUGGGAUGAGCUCGCGGCCUAUCAGCUUGUUGGUGGGGUAAUGGCCUACCAAGGCGUCGACGGGUAGCCGGCCUGAGAGGGUGUACGGCCACAUUGGGACUGAGAUACGGCCCAGACUCCUACGGGAGGCAGCAGUGGGGAAUAUUGCACAAUGGGCGCAAGCCUGAUGCAGCGACGCCGCGUGGGGGAUGACGGCCUUCGGGUUGUAAACUCCUUUCGUCAGGGACGAAGCGAAAGUGACGGUACCUGGAUAAGAAGCACCGGCUAACUACGUGCCAGCAGCCGCGGUAAUACGUAGGGUGCGAGCGUUGUCCGGAAUUACUGGGCGUAAAGAGCUCGUAGGUGGUUUGUCGCGUCGUUUGUGUAAGUCCACGGCUUAACUGUGGGAUGGCAGGCGAUACGGGCAUAACUUGAGUGCUGUAGGGGAGACUGGAAUUCCUGGUGUAGCGGUGAAAUGCGCAGAUAUCAGGAGGAACACCGAUGGCGAAGGCAGGUCUCUGGGCAGUAACUGACGCUGAGGA